CCAGUGAAGGCCUGGUGGUAGGGUCGCUGCCCGGCAAGCAGUAGAUGGCAGGUUCAAAUCCUGCUUGUUCCA
rfam:Strongylocentrotus purpuratus Contig44288_fixed, whole genome shotgun sequence.